AUUGAACGCUGGCGGCGUGCCUAAUACAUGCAAGUCGAGCGAAGCGGGGGCGGGGGAGUAACACGUGGAUAACCUGCUAUAAGACUGGGAUAACUUCGGGAAACCGGUGCUAAACCCGCUACUUAUAGAUGGAUCCGCGCUGCAUUAGCUAGUGUGUAAGGUAACGGCGUACCAAGGCAACGAUGCAUAGCCGACCUGAGAGGGUGAUCGGCCACACUGGAACUGAGACACGGUCCAGACUCCUACGGGAGGCAGCAGUAGGGAAUCUUCCGCAAUGGGCGAAAGCCUGAUGGAGCAACGCCGCGUGAGUGAUGAAGGUCUUCGGAUCGUAAAACUCUGUUAUUAGGGAAGCGGUACCUACUCAGAAAGCCACGGCUAACUACGUGCCAGCCGCCGCGGUAAUUC
rnacentral:rRNA from 1 species